GCGAGCCUUAGGCUGAGCCUUUCCAGGGGUCCAUGAGGCUGCAAGGAAGUUUUGCAGGGAUGGAGAUCCAGACGUGACUCCGGAGUUCAGUGAGGGGGUGGGAAUGCUUGGAUGCAUACAAAACUUCAUCCGUUACGGAGUUGUGAAAGAGGAAUCCCACCGGGAUCCCAUGUCCCUCUGUCACCUCUCUGCAUGCACGUGAUAAACGGGAGAAAGCAAAGCUCCGGACCCACCGCGCUGCCCCUAGGGAAAAGAAUAAACCAGGAUCGCCAGGGAAGAGCGAGCCGUUUAAUCUCCGUUUCCUCUGGAAAAAAAAUCCUCUGCAGGAGGGUGGAAGAGAAGUCGGCUUUGCAAAACAGAUUUCUGCCUCGAAGUCAGUCUUGAUUCCUAGACAGAACAGACGUUACAAACAUGAUCAAAACAUCAUCUUGAAGCAUAGAGGGUUUAUUCAUACAGAUAUGUAACCUGGAAAUCUUUCCUGGUUCCUCUGGAGACUGAAGUAUCUUGUGUGGGAAGAGGGCUGAAUGACCUUAGGAGAUUUGGCCAGACAUCUUCUGAUUAAUAAGACCUGAGGAGAUCAGUCCAUUUUGUUGCUGGAUUAGAGACCAGAGAGAAAAUGGAGGGACAACGCCCAGCAAAUGCAGGAGUCAGAAAAGGCCCUCCAGUUACUCAGCCUUGGAGCUGUGGGAAGAAUGGGGCAAGUUCUGGGCAAAAGAGCCAAAAAGAAGAAGCCAAAAGUUCAGAGGUCCAAUGCUGUGACUUCAAAAAAGUGCAUUUACAGGAGAGGAAGAGUCCCCGAGAUGUUUGCAGUCAGCUUCACCGCCUUUGCCGUCAAUGGCUGCAACCAGAAAAACACACCAAGGCUGAGAUGCUGGACCUGGUGCUCCUGGAGCAUUUCCUGGCUGUCUUUCCCCCAGAGAUGAAGAAAUGGGUGCGGGAGUGUGGAGUGGAGACCAGUUCCCAGGCGGUGGCCUGUCCGAAGGCUUCCUCCUGUCACAGGAGGAGGAAAAGCUGGAAAUUUUGCAGAAAUCUUUGGAAGCUGUGACUGAGUAUCCCAAGGAAAGGGAAGAUUCAUCCAAACCCUCUCAAGAGCUGAAGUUCAGGAAGAGCUUCCAGAAAGAUCAAAGUCAAGACACCAUGCCAGAGAAUAAAAAACAGUCUGGCUUUUUUAGAAUCGCCGCCUCUUUCUGGUGGAGCUAAGAGAGUGCUUGAACCUCUGCCUCAGGUAGGACGAGAAACAUUGAUAAAUAUCCAUGAAUCUUGGAUGGGUUUCAUUUUGUUCUGGAGUUCAGUGUAUAUUAUUGCUAUUUCUAAGCAAUUCACAUUUUAGAUCAGGUCAAUGAAAAUACACACACAGCUGAUCCUAUCUGUCCCUUCUGAUAAGCUUUCUCCACCUUCCUGCUUUCAGGCUCAGAUUUCCUUGACUAGAUGUUGUCUCAGCUAGAGAUCUUCCUUCUGUUUCCCUGUUUCCCUCACAAACCAUUAUUUUAAAAAGUAUUCUCUUUUGUCUUUUGAAAAGCAUAUUUUGGACAACCAUGACCUGGUGAUUGAGAAUCUCCAUAGACUAUUACAAGCUCUUCUAACACCUUCAUCAAGGUGUGGAAUUUGUUCCUCAGUGGAUAAAGUAAGCCAUUGGCAAAAAUGUCAGGUGGGUUUUGCCAGUAUUGCCCACCCUAGGAAGAAUUGGACCUACUGAUAAAUAAUGGAUUUAAGACCCACCUACCAAUUAACCAAGAAAACUAUCUUAGUUGGCUACAAUGAGGUAUUGAUCCAACUUGAUCCAAUGCUGUCAGUCAUAAAUGGUGAGAUCUCAUUCAGAAUUCUGCAGAAGAUGCCCAUUUUGUUCACUGGUUCUUCUUCCUUGAAUUGGUGGUAGAAAACUAUCAAAUUAUUCUUGGGAUUAUCUGUUAAUAGGAAAACAUGUUUCCUUGUUCAGGAUGUUGUGUCUUUUGAUGACGUGGCUGUGUAUUUCUCCAAAGAGGAGUGGUCUCAGCUGGAAGCUGACCAAAAAGUGCUCCACAGAGAAGUCAUGCUGGAAAAUUCCAGGAAUCUGGCUUCUCUGGGUAAGAACCCCUUUCUGUGCUCAGGAACGUAGAAAAGUCACGGGAUGGGGGGCUUAGAUGUUAUUUCUGAUUAAAAGAACAUCACUGUUGUGUCUUUUGAGGAAGUGGCUGUGUAUUUCUCCAAGGAGGAGUCGUCUCAACUGGAUGCUGACCAAAAAACACUCCAUGGAGAAGUCAUGCUGGAAAAUUCCUGGAAUCUCUUUUCUUUGGGCUUAAAUGGUCAAGAGAAUAAGAAUUACAAGGAACAAUGCCAAGUGAUCCAUCCAAAAGAGGGAAAGGGGAAAUUUGCAGAUCAGAUGCAACCAAAGAGUGUUGAGACAAGCCAAUCAAAAAGUGGAAUUUAAAAAAGCUUUCCUUGUGUCAGCUGGCUUCCUAACCAUACAAACAUCGAUAUGGGAGAUACAUAUAACCACAUGCAGUAUGGAAAGAGCCUUACUUAUACCAAUCAUCUUAAUUGCCAACAGAAGAUCCACAAAGGAGGGAAGGUAUAUCAAUGUAUAGAGUGUGGAAAGAUCUUCUGUUAUUAUAGUUCUCUUGUAAGACAUCAAAGGAAUCACAAAGGAGAAAGACCGUAUAAAUGCAUGGAGUGUGGAAAGAGCUUUACUUGAAGCAGUAACCUUAAUUCUCACAAGAGGAUCCACACAAAAGAGAAACCAUAUCAAUGUUUUGAAUGUGGAAAAGGCUUUAGGUGGAAUUCUACUCUUACCACCCACAAAAGGAUCCACACAGGUGAGAGGCCACAUAAAUGUGGGCACUGUGGAGAAGGCUUUAGAAGGAGUUGUGAUCUCACUUCCCAUAAGGGGAUCCAUAUGGGGGAAAAAACCAUAUGAAUGCAUGGAGCGUGGGAAGAGCUUUGCAAGGAGUAAUGCUUUUACUUGUCAUAGAAGGAUCAACACACAGGAGAAAUCAUAUCAAUAAAGGAAAUGUGAGAAGAGCUUCAAUAGAAUGCAGGUAGUCCUCAGUUUAUGACUGCAAUUGAUCCAAAAAUUUCUGUUGCUAAGCAAGAUAGUUGUUAAAUUGCCCCAUUUUACUUCUUUUCUUGCCACAUUUGUUAACUAAAUCCUGUAGGUAACAUAGUAAAACUGUUAAGUGACUCUGGCUUCUCCAUUGACUUUGCUGGUCAGAAGUUCGCAGAAAGUGAUCACACAACCCUGGGACACUGCAACUAUCAUAAAUAUGAGUCAGUUGUCAAACAUUUGAAGUUUUCUCAGUUGACCAUGGGAAUUCUGCAAUGGUGAUAAGUGUGAAAAAUGGUCAAAAGUCACUUUUUUUCAGUGCUGUGUAACUUUGAAGAAUCACUAAAUGAACUGUUGUAAAUUGUGGACUACCUAUAGUUGUCUAAAAUCUCAUGCAAGGCUCCUGAUCUCCGCUCCUUCCAUUGGGACUUGAAGACUUGGCUUUUCAAACAAAUAGGCUGAGACUGAUUCCGGGCUUUAUUAUUUACUACUAAUUAAUUAUUUGGUUUAAAUUAUGAUUUUAUUGUACUUAUUUCUUAACUUGUGUUCGCCGCCCUGAGUCCUUCGGGAGAAUGGCGGCUUAUAAAUACAUGUAAUAAAUAAUAAAUAAUAAAUUUGAGUAAUAAUCCAAAUAAAUUGGAGU